AGAGAGAGACAUGCGCGCAUAUCAAUAAGCGGAGGAAAAGAAACUAACAAGGAUUCCCUUAGUAACGGCGAGUGAAGCGGGAAGAGCUCAAAUUUGAAAUCUUCAAGGUUCUACCUUGACGAAUUGUAGUUUAUAGAAGUGUUUUCUGUUAGUGGAGUGGCAAAAGUUCUUUGGAAUAGGACAUCAUAGAGGGUGAGAAUCCCGUAUUUGGUCAUUCCUCCUAGCGUUGUGAUACACUUUCAACGAGUCGGAUUGUUUGGGAAUGCAGUCCAAAAUGGGUGGUAAAUUUCAUCUAAAGCUAAAUAUUGGCGAGAGACCGAUAGCGAACAAGUACCGUGAGGGAAAGAUGAAAAGAACUUUGAAAAGAGAGUUAAACAGUACGUGAAAUUGUCAAAAGGGAAGCGUUUGACACCAGUGUUGUUUUUCCGAAAAUCAAUUACGAAUGUUUUGUUUUUGAGGAGUUAUGACUUCAUCAGGCUUACUGUACUUUCUUUCCUGAACUCUUUUAAUGCACUUUUCGGUUAACAAGUCAACAUCAAUUUCUUUUGUUGUAAAAGAGUCAUGAGGAAGGUGGCUUUCCUUUCGGAUGAAAGUGUUUAUAGCCUUGUGCUUCUGCAAUCGGAGAGAUUGAGGUCUGCAGCGUAGAUCCUUCGGGGUUAGAUACGUAGAUGCUAAGUUAUAGCUUUUUAUAGACAACUUGUUGACUAUAGUUAGUCAUGUAGCUUACUCGUUGACGCUAUUUUACCUACGCUUAGGAUGUUGAUAGUCACAGCGUGUAC
rnacentral:rRNA from 1 species